UACAGAGGGGGCGAGCGUUGUUCGGAAUUACUGGGCGGAAAGGGCGCGUAGGCGGCCUUCUAAGUCGAACGUGAAAUCCCCGGGCUCAACCCGGGAACUGCGUCCGAUACUGGGAGGCUUGAAUCCGGGAGAGGGAUGUGGAAUUCCAGGUGUAGCGGUGAAAUGCGUAGAUAUCUGGAGGAACACCGGUGGCGAAGGCGGCAUCCUGGACCGGCAUUGACGCUGAGGCGCGAAAGCUAGGGGAGCAAACGGG
rnacentral:rRNA from 1 species